AAGCUAUCAAGUAGGUGGCGAAGUAGGUGGCCAAUGUAAUGCAUAAACGGUUAGACAAUUCAUAUAGGCGUGCACAGAGAUACAUGUUACUGUAAGUUGUGAAUAUGAACAUAUACAGCAGGGUGGAUUUGUGGUGUACGGGACAUUACUUUGGCUUUCACAUCACCACUGAAUUUCAUUUAUAUCUACAUUGUUGAAGGCAUGACAUGGUUUUUGUUGCAUUGUUUGUGCCUUGAUUUGCAAUUGUACCAACAUAUGCUCUAUUUUUAGUCUGUUCAACUCAAUGUCACUGUUGCUAUGCAGCAUGGAGUACCAUAUGCAAAAG
rnacentral:misc_RNA from 1 species